rnacentral:lncRNA from 1 species
AGCUUUGGCCAAGACCGUGACUUCAGGAAGGGAGCUCAGGGCCCUCGCCGCCAGCCCCCUCCCCAUGGAGGACAGUUUUCUGGAAUCGUUCGGGAGGCUGAGCCUCCAACAGCGGCAGCAGCAGCCGCCUCCUCGGCCGCCGCCCGCUCGGGGGCCACCUCCGCGCCGCCACAGCUUUAGGAAACACCUCUACCUCCUGCGCGGCCUCCCGGGCUCGGGAAAAACCACGCUGGCCAGAUAAGGCUAGCCCUAGGACCCUGGAACCGCUGAAGAAUCAAGGUAGCCCGCGGUCACAUGCUGAUUUCCAUGGCACCAGGAUUUUAAUUCCUGCUUGACAUUUGACUAAGCAGAAGACAUCGGACAAGAGAACAUCUCAUUAAACACCCGUAGGGACAGAUUGGGUGAGCCCCGGCCUGAAGGCAGAAGCCUGCUGUAGAUCUACCUCAUCACUAGCUAGCUGCUGUCUUAAGCAACCAUGACGCCUCUCUGUGACUACUAAGAGGUGAUUAAGUUAGAGGGUUCAAUGGGAAUCUUUCUCGUAACUUCCUGUUGCCAGAUCUAAAGAGUCAAGUAUGGCUUCCUAGCCAAGCUCUGCCACUCACUGGAGAUGUAGUCACUGGUUAGGUGACUGAUUGGCAGGACAAGCCCUCGGAGUUACAGAGGCAUUGGCUGUGACCAGAGGAGGCAAACCAUGGACUCGGCCCCCUACUGUAAGGGGCAAUGUAAGCCUUGGCAUGCCUCCCGGUGGGCUGUGGGUUUAUAUAUAAAGUUCCGCAGGGUGGGUUGCAAGUAAGAACCAGUCUGGAAGUCACAGCAAGACCUUCCCAGACCAUGUUUUCCAGGGAGGGAAUAGGAGAGAGAAGAAUAGAAGAUUGCCUUAAAUAACACCAUGUAGAACGGAGACACUGUACGGUUAUUAUGUCCUUACUGGAUCCUGAGGGUCAUUUUAUCUAUAUGCUUUCAACAUUUUCUAUAAUGGACGUGUAUUUCUUAAACCAGACCUUUAAAUAAAAUCUUUUUCUUUAACGUUAGAGGAAGUUAGUUUUUGCAAAUAUGGGCUCAUCUCCUGCUUAACUUUUAUAUCUCAUUUGACUAAAUAACUAAUAAAAUCUCUUUUAAAA